ACAUGUUCUCGGGGCGGGGUGCGAUUCCCCACCGGCGGUAAUCGUUCCUGGCAUGUUGCGGAACGUAGCCCGCGAGCGCUCUUCGAUCUCUUCCUUGCGUGUCCGGUUCCGUCGGCCAUGCCGUGAUCGACGAGGUCAGCAGACCCGGUUGGAUUCCAGGGCCGACGGUACAGUCCGGAUGAAAGAGAACAGGA
rnacentral:ncRNA from 2 species